CCUACGGGAGGCAGCAGUGAGGAAUACUGGUCAAUGGACGAGAGUCUGAACCAGCCAAGUAGCGUGAAGGAUGACUGCCCUAUGGGUUGUAAACUUCUUUUAUAUGGGAAUAAAAUGUUCCACGUGUGGGAUUUUGUAUGUACCAUAUGAAUAAGGAUCGGCUAACUCCGUGCCAGCAGCCGCGGUAAUACGGAGGAUCCGAGCGUUAUCCGGAUUUAUUGGGUUUAAAGGGAGCGUAGGUGGAUUGUUAAGUCAGUUGUGAAAGUUUGCGGCUCAACCGUAAAAUUGCAGUUGAAACUGGCAGUCUUGAGUACAGUAGAGGUGGGCGGAAUUCGUGGUGUAGCGGUGAAAUGCUUAGAUAUCACGAAGAACUCCGAUUGCGAAGGCAGUUCACUGGACUGCAACUGACACUGAGGCUCGAAAGUGUGGGUAUCAAACAGGAUUAGAUACCCCUGUAGUC
rnacentral:rRNA from 1 species